GUACGGGUAGUAACACGCGGAUCAUCUACCUCUUAGUGGGGAAUAACCCUGGAAACCGGGGCUAAUACCGCAUAAUCCUGUAAGGGAAAGCAGCAAUGCGCUAGAGAGGAGUCCGCGGCCGAUUAGCCAGUUGGUAGGGUAAUGGCCUACCAAGGCAAUGAUCGGUAGCCGGCCUGAGAGGGCACACGGCCACGGACUGGCACUUGAAACACGGGCCAGACUCCUACGGGAGGCAGCAGUUGGGGAAUCUUGCACAAUUGGAG
rnacentral:rRNA from 1 species